UAUGGAACCGGAAUGCCCAAGUGUUGAAGCAAGUUCUCUGCUUCUUGAGCUUCCAUCUUUGCCACCUCCUCAACAGGGCCUUGCAAUGUGUUGCCAUCAAUUCCAAAAUUGAGAUUCAAAUCGCCUUUUGUGCUUUCGCCAAGGUAAUCCACUUCAGACGUUGUGGAAGAAGUGACAACAGAAAACACAUCCUCUCCAGGAGGAACCGAUGUCGCG
rnacentral:misc_RNA from 1 species